AACGAACGCUGGCGGCAUGCCUAACACAUGCAAGUCGGACGAGACCUUCGGGUCUAGUGGCGCACGGGUGCGUAACGCGUGGGAACCUGCCCUUAGGCUCGGAAUAACUCCCCGAAAGGGGUGCUAAUACCGGAUAAUGUUUUCGGACCAAAGAUUUAUCGCCUUUGGAUGGGCCCGCGUUGGAUUAGCUAGUUGGUAGGGUAAAAGCCUACCAAGGCGACGAUCCAUAGCUGGUCUGAGAGGAUGAUCAGCCACACUGGGACUGAGACACGGCCCAGACUCCUACGGGAGGCAGCAGUGGGGAAUAUUGGACAAUGGGCGAAAGCCCGAUCCAGCAAUGCCGCGUGAGUGAUGAAGGCCUUAGGGUUGUAAAGCUCUUUUACCCGGGAUGAUAAUGACAGUACCGGGAGAAUAAGCUCCGGCUAACUCCGUG
rnacentral:rRNA from 1 species